UUUCUCUUCGACAUAAACAGACCUACACUGUUCAAGAUGAUCAAAAGGAAUAGCAUGCAGGCUCUCUUCAUUGCAGUUUUCGUACUGAACGGAAUUGGUGAGGCAAUGGCAGACUACAAAAGAGUCUGCUAUUACACAAAUUGGGCACAGUACCGACCGAAUCCUUUUAAGUAUUUCCCAGAAGAUAUUGACCCAUUUCUCUGUACGCAUAUUAUCUAC